AUUGAACGCUGGCGGCAGGCCUAACACAUGCAAGUCGAACGAGCGGCGGACGGGUGAGUAAUGUCUGGGAAACUGCCUGAUGGAGGGGGAUAACUACUGGCAACGGUAGCUAAUACCGCAUACCAUCAGAUGUGCCCAGAUGGGAUUAGCUAGUAGGUGGGGUAAAGGCUCACCUAGGCGACGAUCCCUAGCUGGUCUGAGAGGAUGACCAGCCACACUGGAACUGAGACACGGUCCAGACUCCUACGGGAGGCAGCAGGGGGGAAUAUUGCACAAUGGGCGCAAGCCUGAUGCAGCCAUGCCGCGUGUAUGAAGAAGGCCUUCGGGUUGUAAAGCACUUUCAGCGGGGAGGCGUUACUCGCAGAAGAAGCACCGGCUAACUCCGUGCCAGCAGCCGCGGUAAUAC
rnacentral:rRNA from 1 species